rnacentral:rRNA from 1 species
CCAAUAGCGUAUAUUAAAGUUGCUGCAGUUAAAAAGCUCGUAGUUGAAUUUCGGGAUCAAUAUGUUGGUCGUGCCUUGGUACGUACUGGCAUUAUUGGUUCCUACCUUCUGAAGAACCUCGAUGUCAUUAAUUUGGUGUCUUGGGGAAUCAGGACUGUUACUUUGAAAAAAUUAGAGUGUUUAAAGCAGGCUCGCGCUUGAAUACAUUAGCAUGGAAUAAUGAAAUAGGACGUUUGAUUCUAUUUUGUUGGUUUCUAGGAUCGACGUAAUGAUUAAUAGGGAUAGUUGGGGGCAUUAGUAUUCAAUUGUCAGAGGUGAAAUUCUUGGAUUUAUUGAAGACUAACUACUGCGAAAGCAUUUGCCAAGGAUGUUUUCAUUAAUCAAGAACGAAAGUUAGGGGAUCGAAGACGAUCAGAUACCGUCGUAGUCUUAACCAUAAACUAUGCCGACUAGGGAUCGGAUGAUGUUAAUUUUUUAAUGACUCAUUCGGCGCCUUACG